AAAAUGUCAGGGGCAUUUUUGGACCUUAUCCCAAAUCCUUUUUAAUUGUAAUUCACAUAGAGAUAUAGUGGAUUAGUUAAUUCGGGUGUCUUGUUUAAUUCUAUCAUCUGUGGAUUUAAGUGAGUAUGGGUAUUAUGCAUCGAGAUGUGGUUUUAUCUGCUUUAGUGUUCUUGAUUAAAAAUUCAAGAUAGAAAAUAAUUGAUGAGAAGUGUGUUAACUUAAAUGAAGCAAUAAGUGAAAUUGUGAUCUUAAAUCUCCGUAAUCUGAU
rnacentral:lncRNA from 1 species